GGGCCGACCCUGCGCAACAGGAAGGUGCAAACCCCGCCAGGUCCGGAAGGAAGCAACGGUAAGCAUCUUAUUCUGUGUGCCGCAGAAAGUCGGUCCCUU
rnacentral:SRP_RNA from 1 species